CCUACGGUGGGCAGCAGUGAGGAAUAUUGGUCAAUGGGCGCGAGCCUGAACCAGCCAAGUAGCGUGAAGGAUGACUGCCCUACGGGUUGUAAACUUCUUUUAUAAAGGAAUAAAGUGAGGCACGUGUGACUCUUUGAAUGUACUCUAUGAAUAAGCAUCGGCUAACUCCGUGCCAGCAGCCGCGGUAAUACGGAGGAUACGAGCGUUAUCCGGAUUUAAUGGGUUUAAAGGGAGCGUCGAUGGGUUGUUAAGUCAGCUGUGAAAGUUUGUGGCUCAACCUACAAAUUGCAAUUGAUACUGGCAGUCUUGAGUGCAGUUGAGGUAGGCGGAAUGCGUGGUGUAGCGGUGAAAUGCAUAGAUAUCACGAAGAACUCAGAUUGCGAAGGCAGCUUACUGGACUGCCACUGACAUUGAUGCUCGAAAGUGUGGGUAUCGAACAGGAUUAGAUACACUUGUAGUC
rnacentral:rRNA from 1 species